rnacentral:rRNA from 1 species
UACGGGGGGAGCAAGCGUUGUUCGGAUUUACUGGGCGUAAAGGGCGCGUAGGCGGCCAGCACAAGUCAGUUGUGAAAUCUCCGAGCUUAACUCGGAAAGGUCAACUGAUACUGUGCGGCUAGAGUGCGGAAGGGGCAACUGGAAUUCUUGGUGUAGCGGUGAAAUGCGUAGAUAUCAAGAGGAACACCUGCGGCGAAGGCGGGUUGCUGGGCCGACACUGACGCUGAGGCACGAAAGCGUGGGGAUCAAACAGG